AAGUCGAGCGAACAGACGAGGAGCUUGCUCCUCUGACGUUAGCGGCGGACGGGUGAGUAACACGUGGAUAACCUACCUAUAAGACUGGGAUAACUUCGGGAAACCGGAGCUAAUACCGGAUAAUAUAUUGAACCGCAUGGUUCAAUAGUGAAAGACGGUUUUGCUGUCACUUAUAGAUGGAUCCGCGCCGCAUUAGCUAGUUGGUAAGGUAACGGCUUACCAAGGCAACGAUGCGUAGCCGACCUGAAAGGGUGAUCGGCCACACUGGAACUGAGACACGGUCCAGACUCCUACGGGAGGCAGCAGUAGGGAAUCUUCCGCAAUGGGCGAAAGCCUGACGGAGCAACGCCGCGUGAGUGAUGAAGGUCUUCGGAUCGUAAAACUCUGUUAUUAGGGAAGAACAAAUGUGUAAGUAACUAUGCACGUCUUGACGGUACCUAAUCAGAAAGCCACGGCUAACUACGUGCCAGCAGCCGCGGUAAUACGUAGGUGGCAAGCGUUAUCCGGAAUUAUUGGGCGUAAAGCGCGCGUAGGCGGUUUUUUAAGUCUGAUGUGAAAGCCCACGGCUCAACCGUGGAGGGUCAUUGGAAACUGGAAAACUUGAGUGCAGAAGAGGAAAGUGGAAUUCCAUGUGUAGCGGUGAAAUGCGCAGAGAUAUGGAGGAACACCAGUGGCGAAGGCGACUUUCUGGUCUG
rnacentral:rRNA from 1 species